rfam:Echinops telfairi cont1.446542, whole genome shotgun sequence.
UUUAUUUUCUUCUUCAACAUUAAGGUAACUGCAAACAUAUUGUUGAAAUAAAAGUUACAUUUCCCCCCCCUUCAGACUUUAGUCUGCAAUAACUUAAAGAAAAGGACCCAGA